rnacentral:rRNA from 1 species
AUUGAACGCUGGCGGCAUGCCUUACACAUGCAAGUCGAACGGCAGCACGGGUGCUUGCACCUGGUGGCGAGUGGCGAACGGGUGAGUAAUACAUCGGAACAUGUCCUGUAGUGGGGGAUAGCCCGGCGAAAGCCGGAUUAAUACCGCAUACGAUCCACGGAUGAAAGCGGGGGACCUUCGGGCCUCGCGCUAUAGGGUUGGCCGAUGGCUGAUUAGCUAGUUGGUGGGGUAAAGGCCUACCAAGGCGACGAUCAGUAGCUGGUCUGAGAGGACGACCAGCCACACUGGGACUGAGACACGGCCCAGACUCCUACGGGAGGCAGCAGUGGGGAAUUUUGGACAAUGGGCGAAAGCCUGAUCCAGCAAUGCCGCGUGUGUGAAGAAGGCCUUCGGGUUGUAAAGCACUUUUGUCCGGAAAGAAAUCCUUGACUCUAAUACAGUCGGGGGAUGACGGUACCGGAAGAAUAAGCACCGGCUAACUACGCG